ACGAACGCUGGCGGCGUGCUUAACACAUGCAAGUCGAACGCUGACGACCGAGCUUGCUCGGUCUGAUUAGUGGCGAACGGGUGAGUAACACGUGAGCAACCUGCCCUUCACUCUGGGAUAACCUCGGGAAAUCGGGGCUAAUACCGGAUAUGAGCUCCUGUCGCAUGGCGGGUGUUGGAAGGUUUUUCGGUGAAGGAUGGGCUCGCGGCCUAUCAGUUUGUUGGUGAGGUAGUGGCUCACCAAGGCGAUGACGGGUAGCCGGCCUGAGAGGGCGACCGGCCACACUGGGACUGAGACACGGCCCAGACUCCUACGGGAGGCAGCAGUGGGGAAUAUUGCACAAUGGGCGAAAGCCUGAUGCAGCGACGCCGCGUGAGGGAUGACGGCCUUCGGGUUGUAAACCUCUUUCAGCAGGGAAGAAGCGAAAGUGACGGUACCUGCAGAAGAAGCGCCGGCUAACUACGUG
rnacentral:rRNA from 1 species